rnacentral:lncRNA from 1 species
CCCACAGUAUUGUCCUGGAUAACCUGGCAGCCCAUGGCUUGGACAGGUACACUCUUUGCUGGGUUAAAAACUGGCUGGAUGGCCAGGCCCAGAGAGUAGUAGUGAACAGAGUGAAAUCCAGUUGACAACCGAUCACCAGUGGUGUUUCCCAGGGGUCAGUGUUGUGGCCCAUCCUUUUUAAUAUUUUAAUAUCAGUUAGAUGAGGAAAUUGAGCACAACCUCAGGAAGUUUGCAGACAACGCGAAGUUGGGGGGAAGCAUUGAUCUGCCAGACGGUAGGAAGGCCCUGCACAGGGACCUGAUGAGGUUGGAUCAAUGGUCAGAGAGCAAUGGGAUGACGUUCAAAAUGGCAAGGGGCUGGCUCCUCCACUUCGGCCACAACAAACCCAGGCAAUGCUACAGGCUUGGGGCAGAGUGGCUCGAAAGCUGUGCAGAGUAAAAAGAUCUGGGGGUACUGGUUGAUGCUCGCAGCAACGUGCCCAGUUGGCCAAGGCCAACGGCAUCCUGGAUUGUAUCAGGAAUAGUGUGGCCACCAGAAGGUCCAGGGAGGUGAUUGUCCCCCUGUACUCUUAGGUUUGUCCUGGUCUUUUCAACCUUAAUGAUUUUAUGGUUUUAUUUUUUUUUUUUUUUUUUUUUUUGUUGUUUGUUUGUUUGUUUUUGUUUUUAUUUUUAUUUUUUCUUUUCUUUUUUUCUGUGACUCAUUCACAUCAGCACUGCCGAAGACUCAGCUGGGCUGACAUGAGCAACAGGCCUGCUAUGGAGGAAUGAACUCAGGAAGUGCUGGAUCAAGUUUACUUCCCGUUUUGCUAUUGAUGUUUCUUCCCGUAACACUCCCUACCACCGCUUUUUAUUCAAAAGAACAGCCUCAACAACAAGCGCACGGCGCUAGCCCCCUCAGCCACCCUCCGCCCUGCUCGCAGCCCGCCCGCCCGCCCGGCCCUCAAGAUGGCGGCCGCGCCGCGUGGCCGCAGGACUACUUUUCCCGUGGCGCCGCGCUGCCCGGAACAUGGCGCGGGCCCAGCGGGGCGGUGCCGAGCCCGGCGCCUUCAUUGCGCGUCGCGUUCCGCCGGAACUGCCGCGGCGGAGGGCGAUGAAAUGUUA